rnacentral:rRNA from 1 species
UACGAAGGGGGCUAGCGUUGUUCGGAAUUACUGGGCGUAAAGCGCGCGCAGGCGGUCUUCCAAGUCAGUGGUGAAAGCCCGGAGCUCAACUCCGGAACUGCCAUUGAAACUGUUGGACUUGAGUACGAGAGAGGUGAGUGGAAUUCCCAGUGUAGAGGUGAAAUCCGUAGAUAUUGGGAAGAACACCGGUGGCGAAGGCGGCUCACUGGCUCGUAACUGACGCUCAGGCGCGACAGCGUGGGGAUCAAACAGG